rnacentral:lncRNA from 1 species
AUCAACGUAGGUCAUUGGUUUCACAUCUAAAAUUUUUCUUCUUCAUGAAAAAAUAAAUUUGAGCAGCCACAUAUCGUUCACGUCAACUACCAUUUAAUCCUCAAUUCCUUCUUCUAUUGUAUAAGCCUCAGAUUCCACAGAUGUAACUGUAAAAGUCUCAGAUCCCAGAACUUCAGUUUCCAUAGACUUGAUCAUAGAAUACUCGUAUUUCAAGAUCUCAGUUUCUAAAUGAGGAACAAAAAUCUUAGAACCCUUUUUGGGGCAUGAUAAUGCCAUUAACGCAACGACAACAGAUCUCAUGCUCGGCCUUGAUUCAGGUUUUUUAUGCGUGCAAAGUUUGGCUAGCUGAAACAUCUGCAAUUAACCGAAUUGUUUUCUUUAAGAAACUAAAGACACAGUUGCAAGAGGACAAGUGCUUAAGUUGUCAUGUACUAAUUUUUACCUUGCUGACUGAUUCGAUUGGGUAAUUAUCCCCAAGUCUCGGGUCAACCAGUUUGCGAAGAUCAUCAUUUGAAUCCGGUAGUAUUGGAACUUGUUCAAACUGUCAUAUGAGCAACAAAAUUAUUAGGUCCUCAGAAACUGAAAUUUACAAGCCAACAAAUAGCCACUAAGUAAAUUUAAAGUCUUGGAAGCUAUCCGUAUUUCUUAAGAGUUUGCGGACACAAAUACGAAAAUCUCUCAAAACAAGUCGUGUGUAGUUUAGCAUAGAAUCUUCCUUUAUUCUUGAGAAAGGAAGGACGCAAAUAGAAAAAUGGAGUAGUAAUUAAUAGAAACAAAUUCUUGAGGCUUUUGGUCUACACUGGCAUUUAACUAGUAACGUUUGUAUGAUCAGAUGAAAAGAUAUCCUAUGUACCCUUGUAUUAUCAUUUACUAAGGUGGGGUUUAGAGGAAUUAUUGUGCAGGUGGUGUUGGGGCAAUAGUGUUUCAAGAGAAGUUGGGUGAUUACCGGAGGAGGAGGUGGUGAUGCAUGGCAAGUGCAGCCGUGGCUAGGACGGUGGUAGUGGUGACAGGAGAUUGAGGAUGGGAAGUGCAAUGGCCAAACGCAAUUGUCUCUUUUUGGUUUUCUCUGGCAAGUUAAUUUUGUAAGAUUUUCUAAUUUUUAGAUUUCUUUUUUUUUUAGCUUCCUAUUUGUUUGGGUCUUUGUUGUUGCUGUUAUUGUCUCUUUGCUGUUGUGUUCACCCAAGAAUAAUGUUAACGACAGUUACAAGCUUAUUUCUAGGAAGUGCAUUGCAUUGGGUGGACAGUUACAAAAAAAAGCCAUAUGUAGAGUGAUGAAGGGAAACUCCUGACCUCAUAAUGCCUUCAAUCAUAGUAAUAGUUAAUCCACCAAUGGAUGAUAGGUGCUUUUUUUGUGCUUGUACUUUUAAUUUACUCCCUCCGUCCCAUUGUUAAUGUCAUGUUUCACCUUUUUCAUUGUCCCAAAAUUAGAGUCAUGCUAAAAUUUUUUCCUUCCAGGAUUCCAUUCUUACCCUUGUUGUGCACAUGUAAAAAAGUCCCAAAAAAUUUAAUAGGACCCACCAUUUAUUCCCAUUUAGAGAAGUUCGAAGUGUGUGCUGGACAACUCCCAAUUUAUGAGGCCACUAUUGAUACGUGUCCUUUACGUAUGAAAAGAUGCAUUUGAUUGAAGUGGGACCCACAGAAUUAUGACUCUUUAAAAAACACAAACUUCAGUUGACUAAUGUACUUCCAGCAGGGUAAAUUUGGAAGUAAAGCCUCGGUUGACAAUCAUAGUUCACGGUGCAUAAAAAGUGCUAUUCCCGAAAAACGUCCUUCCAUUUUGGGACGGAGGGAGUACUAUUUUAGCUUUUAUUUGUUUUUGACACCAUAAUAGUAAUAGCCUUUUUUUUUUGACACGGUGAGUAUCUAGAUCUAUACCCGACUAAUCUCACAGCGCCCAGACAGAACGGACUCAACUGAUGUCCAAGACGGUAACAACUAGGACUCGAACUAGAGAUCUUAGAGUAAAGAUCCUGAGCAGAAAUCGGUUGAACUACCCCAGUGCGGGCUAGUAAUAGCCUUAUUUAUUAACGUCUAUUCUACAAAAAUCAUGUUUGUUACAAGAUUUUAAGGCUGUUCAAACCGAGCUGGACAAAAAAAUUCAAGAAAAUCGACCCAACCCAACCUGAAAAUUUCGAGUACCAGGUUUGCAUUUGAGAGCGGGACUAGUCAUGGUUCAGGUUAGUAACCAAUUAGGUCGGGUUGUGGUUCACAUGUUUGUAGAACCGUGCGGCUUCAUUUGUAAGAUUUUUUUUUUUUUUUGCUUUUUAUAUGUGAGGUUAAAUAUAUAAAUUUAUUUAUCAAAACUAAUAUAAUAGGAAAGGUCUAAUCAUUGUUCACAAAUAUUUUUAUCUUGGAGAUGAUGCAUUUUUGUUAUUUCAAGAAUAUAACAAUGUUAACUUUUUUUAAAGUUAAACUUAUCAAUUAUUAUAACGUUUCAUGUUUUGUUAUUGUAAUAAAUAUUAUUUAUAAUUUUUUUAAGAUGAACAUAUGCGGGAUGAUGGUUAUGUGAUGAUUAUUAAUUUUAAUGAUGAAACAAAUAAUAAAAUUCUAAAAAUUUAGUUAAUUUUUAAUUAUUUAUUAUUAAAUUUUAUUUUUUUAAAACAUAGAUACCUGGUCGGGUACUCGCGAGUACUUGAAACAGUGUGCUAGGUACCCUUGUGGCCGUUGGGCAGCUACAGUUCGAUAAAGUUCUCUUUAAGUUGUUAUGGUAUAAUUGUACUUCUUAUUCUUAUGCUACUAUUUCUGAUGUACAUAUCUUGAUUUAAUUUAAAUAAUUGUCUUUACGGUUGGCAAUGCUUAAUAAUUUGAGACAGGACAUAUGGAUCAUAUCUUUAGAUGCAAUGUAUAUUCUCGUAUAACUAAACAGAUUUUGUGUGAAAUUCAGAUGCGCUUGAAGUUGUGAAUUCGUUAUGCAAUGCAAAAACAUGAUAAACAGUAGAAAAGGCAAAAAAAAUUUUGAUUUUAUUUUCUCCAGGAAAUGAUAAAAGCAACUCUCCUUUAAAUUAAAUCAAGGGGCUCCUUUAAGUUCAAUUUUGGAAUUUAUAGUACUAAAAAAUGUAAUUUCUAAGUUGAAAAUGUGAAAUGAAACAUGUAAUUAUAAGGCAUAAUUUCACAAACCUCCCUUGAGGUUUCUCACAAUUACAAAGAGCUACUCUCAAUUUUAAAAAUUACAUAUAUCUCCCCUACUUUUACUGCUUAGUAACAGUGUAAGUCCAAGAAUAUAGAUUUUCUUUCAAAAAUCCUGAAUUGCCUUUUUUGCAAAACUAAGAAAGAAAAAUACAGUAUAUUUAAUCAUUUUCUUCCACACUUUGCAUAAAUCAAUAAGUCAAAUCCCUAACAACCAUCCAACCAUAAGUUUUAAAAUCAAGUAACCAUCCAAAAGAUCUUAAAUUGUAUAUACCAUAUCAAUACUUGCCAUAAUAAAAAAUACACACACAAAACUCCAUUGACAACCAAUUUCAUACCCCCAAAUUGUCUACUAAGUGGAGGGCAUUAUAUGUGUUUCACUAUGUCAAGAGAGGUAAGUGUAAUUUCUUAAACUUGAGGGGAGUCGAGUGAAAUUGUCAGAAGGGAGGUUUCUAAAAUUAUCCCUAAUUAUAAUGAUGCAUAUUAUUCUGAUUUAAUCACACUUAAGCCCCAUAUAAUUAGUUUAGUAGUUUAUCGUCCCGUUCUCUUACUUUUUCAAUUCUAUUUUUUCCUCAUCUUGAAGGCCAUCACUUAUUUCUAUAGAGUAUUAUGAUUUAUAUACUCUAUUCGGGAGAAAGGAGAACUAAACCCAAAAUCUUUCAUUCUUGAUCUCAACCUUUUUAUUUAAUCUCAACCUUAUGACAUACUCGCAAUACAUUAUUGAUUUGUUUUACCAAACUCAAGACCAAGAUCUCCUUUACAAAUUUGAAUACUUGCAAUACAUCAUCAAUUGUUGCACCUUAUCCUUUUUAUCUCAUUAUGUUUGUAAUUCUAUAUAUUUCACUAUUACUAACUUAUUCAUCACUAGUGCUUAAGGCACACUCUAACAUGUGUGCAAUUAACAAAAAAUAUAUUUAUCACAAUUAUCUCUUUAAAAAGUUUUUUAAUGGAUCUAUUGGUCAAAUUCCAUUAUAAUGUAGAUAAUCAUACACGAGACAAAGAUGACGGAAGUAGAGAAGAAUAUGUAGGAGUUCGAAGUUAGCAUGAGGAAGUUAUAGUUAAUUGAUAACUGAAUAGAUAAUCACCUUCUGAUUCAAAAACUAUCUGCAAUUGAGACAAAUUUGUCCUUAUAAUUAAGGUUACAUUAGGAAUUUUAAAGAAUGACAUUGUGUAUUUAAACAAUCAGUGAUGCUUUCCCUUUAUAUAUUGUAUACAUAAGGGUUAAUGGAUAAUAGAGAUAAGGCUAAAUUUGAAAAUACACAAAAUUAACAUCAAGUUAAUUACCUACACAGGCUUUAUUUAAAUGAGUUUUGAUUUAAAGAAAUCUCUUCCCAAUAUAAAAUAAAAUCAAACAUUAGCAAUAAGGCAGGACUUAUAAAAGCAUAUUCAAAUUGACUGGCUAAUUUUUUAAUUUUUUGCAUCAUAGAUACGUUUUCAAUAACUAUUUGAUUUUUUAAUCACCUUUCUAUAUCACGUACAUGAAAUCACAAAAAGUAUUGUAGUAUUCUAAUUUGUUUUUCAAAUAAUCUUUUAUCUAAAGACACCUAAAUCUAACUUUUUUUUCUUUCAAGUACUUCAAAUGAAGAUUUUUAGUGAAAUAAUUAUUUUGCAUAGAAAAUUUUUUAAAACUCUAUUAAUACUUUUUUUGUACCUCCAAUUUUAAUUUAAGAUCUUUUAUUUGUUUCACAUAUGUCACACAAUAAAAUGUGUUACAUUAAAUAAAAAUAUUUUCACAAAUAUCCUGCAAUUUAAUCACACUCAGUAGUUUUCAAUUAGUAUUAUACAUGCUAGCAUCAAUUACUUUCAUAAAACUCUAUGUGUUAAUCAAGGUGUACAUUUAUGAAAUUAUAGAACGAAUCAUGCGAAGAUGAGUAAUCACAAAUUUAGAAAAAAUGUACCUAAUAGACCUCCUGUUUCGACAAAAAAAAAAAAAAGGUACCUAAUAGGCACUUGUAAGGACACCUAAAUAUACAUAAUUUAGUAUGUGAAUACACAUACUAACAAUUAUUACUUCACCUUGCAUUUAUAAGUUUUUCUUAUUUAACUUUUAUAUUUCCAAAAUAUUGAACCUGAAUUGGUUACUGUAAAAAAAAAAAAAGAUGGGAAGUUCACCCUUUUUUUCCAAUGCUGACUCGAAGAGCUCUGUGUUAUGUAUAAAUAAAUUUUUGGAUUUGAGAAAAGAAAAAAACCAACAACUUUGUUAACAAUUACAUAUUUUUGUCAAAAAAGUUCUCUUAAUAUCAUAACCUAGCAUUAGUUUAGCCAUUUUUUGGAUAUGAACAAAGAAGAGAGGAUAGACCCAUAAUUACAUUUAUAAAAAAAAUAUAUGAGACUUUAUCCUAAUUCUAAUUCUAAGUAAUUGGGUGCGAGGCCAAAUGAAUUACAUUUUAGUGAGUGCUUUAAAAGCACUCAUUAGAUGGCCCCUUAGGAGCAUAAUAAUUAUAGGGAAAAUAGUUCAAAAAUCUCUCUCAUUUCGCCUAAUGAUUUUUUCAUAACUCACUUUGAAAAUGGUAGCUUUACGUCCCUUAUAAAAUCAAGUCAAUAAAAUUUAGUCCUAACCUUGGUUUUCAACAAUUUUUUAGCCCAAAUUUGCAUGUGAUCCAUACAUGGUCAUUGUUUAUGAACAGAAAGGUCAGAUCCUAUUUAUAGUUAAACAAAUGACUUGAUUCAUAUUUAUUUUUGCCCUUAAAAAAAUAGGAUCUAACAGAAUCAUAUGUAUUUUUUUCCUCAAGAAAAUAAGAUCAGACCCAAUCUAUACUUAUUUUCGUCACUAAAAAGUAGAAUUUGACUCUUUUUGUACAUGAAAAAUGACUGCAUGUGAGUCACGUAGUGUUUUAAGGCUAAAAAGUUAUUGAAAACUGAGAAUACAACUAAAUUUUGCUAACUUAAAUUUGUAAGAGAUGUAGAGUUUACGUUUUAAAAGUCAAGGUUGAAAAAAUUAAUUUGGUGAAAUAUGAGGAUAGUUUUGAAAUAAUUAUGAUUGUAUACAUUUAUAUAAUUAAUUUAGUGUCAUCUAGUAGUAAGAAAAAUCAAUUAUUAAAAAUGUUGACAAAGCCUUUCAUAUUUUAAGAAGUGAUUUAUUAAUGGAUCUGUUUGACACGCGUUUUUUUGCGCGUUUUCAAUAGACAAAGUUAUAUUACAAUUUUAACUAUAGAAACUUAAUAAGACACUCAAAUUUUAUAAAAAUAUUCUAAAAUACCAGUAAACACACCUCAAAAUACUAAAAAAAUAAGUCCCCUUCUGUCUUCAACCACCACCUCCCACCACCAUCAUCCCACCUCUGCCAACACUACUGCCAACCACCACCUUCCCCCCCCUGCUUCCGCCACCACCAUCUCCCCCUUUCCCCCUCCACCCCCUCACCUCCUUCAUUCCCUCUCCACUCCUCUCUUCCCCUCUUUCCCCGCUAGCCCCCUCUACUUUCUCUUCUCUUCCAUUUCCCUCCCCGUCUUUCCCCGCCACCCUUCCCCCUUCUCCUCUCUUUCUCCACCCCCACCCACGUCCCUGCCCCCCUCUCUAGGUGAGACCAGACCUAUUCCCAUAUGUUCUCAUAUAGAUGAGACUUUAUUGCCUGUUACCAUUAGUUUAAUGACCCAUCAGCAAAACAAGAAUAACUAGGCAAAGAAAUUGACUAAGGGCCUGUUUGAUAACAUAAAAAAGUGUUGAAACUGAACUUUUUCAGAUAUUCAGAUGUUUUGAAUGUUUGAUAAAUGAAAAUUCAUUUGCUGAACUUGUUAUGCAGUGCUGAACUUGUAUGUAUUUUUUUCAGCACAAGAAUUCUAAAUGAAUGCUUAAUUCUAUAAGAAUCAAUAUAAUUACUUCAACUACCUUAUACAAGUUUUUAGCAAACGCUUUUUUGGCCAAGUUUGUCUUCUACGAGUUUUUUAAAAACUUUAGCUAUAGUAAUCUCAAAAAACUCCUCAAAGUUUUUAAACUAUAUAUUUCAAAAUACUCAAAAAUUUACAUACUUCAAAAAUUUUUCCUACAACUUUUAAAGUAAACUACAGUAAAAUUUUAAACAAACACCCAAAAAACUCAUUUGCCAAAUGGGACCAUAUUAUUAAAUAAUAUUACAACUUAAAUUCUUUUGACACAAGAUUCAAUGAAUAUGGUAGCUAUCAAGACCACGUUCCAUUCACCUUAGUUUUCUUGACAAGACAUAAUAUAUUUAGUAAUAUGAGUAAUUUUUAAUCAAUCAAAUAUUUCCUUUUCCUUAUUUCAAUCAACUAAUUAUCAUAUUAUCUUUUUCUUAUAAUAUUAUUUUGUCCAAAAUAAAGUUUCCAAAUUGUAGCAUGCGAUUUAUAUACCAAAAUCACAAAACCUAAACCCUAUUUUCAUACGAUACAUAGUGAGAUUGAAGAUGAGAAUAAGAAAGUAUCCACGAUAGGGCCUUGCUAGGGAAAGUGAAUGAAUGAGAAGAUGAAGUAACUAGAUUGGCUACUACCAUGCAAGUGACGCUCUUAGAUUUUCAUUCUUUUAUUCAUUUUAUAAAGUCAAUUCAGAUUUUAAGAUUUAUCAUGCCUACUUUAGUCUAUGAAUUUUAGUAGAACUAACUGGACCUCGAAACUUUAGAAAUUUGUCGAUUAAAUCACUAAGUCCCUAAUAGUUCAUGUUGUGUGUAAUCAAUUGAAUGUUCUUUGACCAAUCUGUUAAUAGUAAUUAAUAAAGGAGGUACUGAUCCCUUAAGAGGUUGUUUUGGUCUGUGAGUUUAUUAGAUAGCAACUCAUAUAUGAUUAGUCAUACUUUAUGCACAUCGGUUUUCCUUGUUUUACCGUGCGCAUGUUAUUAGAUGAUGAUUAAUGUCGAUUACACUUCCAAGUAGAUGUCGGUAUCACAAGAGCAAGUAACCUUUCAGCUAGUUCUGACCGAAGCAAGAUUCAUUGGUAUCUUAGUAUGCUCGGGAAGAAUUCAAGAAUGAAGAACAACUUGCUAUGAUUUUCAUGAAUGAUGUUACUGGUGACAACUACCAUUGAGAAUAGUAAUGUGAUCAUUUGGUGUUUCACAGCCGAACUUUACAAUUGUUACACUACUAUUACUUGGAGCUGUCUCAAUUCGCUUUAAAGCUAAUUUUUAAACCUUUAAUGUACUAAAAUUGCAACUAGUUUACAGCAACAAUUGCAAUUGUUUUCAGCCCCUCUGUACAACCUCUAGAAUAUCUGAAACAAACAAUAGCAUUUCUUGGAGUUACUUUUUGUCAUUAAACCAUCCAGCUCCCUCUUUUUGCACAAGUAUCCAAUAAAGAUUAACAGUAAAAUAAAUUAAAGCAUUGAGAAGAAUACUGAGAACACCUUUUUUGCCUGUCUACUGAGACAACAUCACAAAAUUCGAAGUUGUAGGAGGAUCAAGCAGCCACAACCAUGAACUUGUGAAUCAAUUUUAGAGACCAUGGAGGAGAAUGAAGCCCUUUUACAUGGAGCAGAUAUUCCCCUUUUCCACACUGGAUUAGACAAUAUCACUUAUUCCCGCCAAGGAAAUUGGGAUUUAAUGACAUCUCGAUUUCUUCAAGAGACCGGCCUUUAGUUUCAACUGUAAAGUAAUAACCAAAUGUUGCUGCCAUCAAGGAAAAUCCGCCGAAGCCUGCAUAAACUGAAGCCACACCAAAUUUUUCCGCCAGUUCCAGAAAAAAUUGUCCCACCAAGAAGUUGCAUACCUGAUCAUCACGAAAAGCAGAACAACUUGGAGUAUAAGAUUACGAAUGAAAUGCAAUCUUAACAAGGACCGGCCAGAUUGCAAAAGAUGGAGAAUCAAGUAGCACAUAAGCACAGAGAUUUCUUCUUUUUCCUACAAGAGCUUAUUAGCCAAUUUACCCUCCAAACAAGGGAAGAAGGAAGAAGAGACACUGGAUGAACGCAUCACAACACUUUCCCUAAAUUCAACUGAUUAGUCACUAAUCUGGUUUUAGAAAUAGACGAUGACUGCUCAUUUAUAUCUGUAGAAAAAGGAGAUUGCAGUGCAAACCCAGUGAACAGCAAGACUGAAGCUCAUGAUCUUUCCUCGUGUCCUGGUGCUGCUAAGCUCUGGUAUAAUAAGACCAGUUACUGGCCCGGCUCCAGAGGCAAAAAAGAAUAUGUACCUAUUAACGGAGCACAAAGUGGGAGAUCUGGUAAAAUUCUCUCAGAUGCAAGUCAUAUAGGCGAGAAGAAACCAAGGAGAUAGUCAUAUACACAGCAGAGAGAGCAUAAGCAAAAUCGCCAUUAUAAUGUCAUAAAAUGAGCAAAUAAUAGGCUUUGACAUACAUAACUAGAUAAAACAUUAAAUGAAAAAAGGUGUCUCCAGAAAACAAAUAAAGCAAUCUGAUUACAAGCUGCCAACCUAAGUUAUGCAGAGAUGAAAAUGUCAUUUUGCAAUCCAAAUUAUUUAAAUUUGCAGCACACUAACAAAUAAAUAGCAGUCAGAAAAAUUAAAAAUGAGCUGGGACAAAAGAUUAUAUGGCUCUUUACCAUGUGUAUAAUAUGUACAUUUUAAAGUGUGGAAGCAUACAUGGUAGUUCCUAGAACAGAUAACGUGUUGCCAAUGUCCUUCUCUACUGGCAAGCUGAUGGCAGACACCACAAGCAACAUCGACGCAGUCUGUAGAAGGAUCAAUGAACAGAGAAGUUAAAACCAUAUCUUAAGCUGCAAUGAAAAUUGAAAGGGUUUAAAGAUAAUUCCACGCAUGCUACCAUAAAGAACAAAAAUGGCAUACAACUAUAUUGCUCUUUCAAUGGAUCCUGUUCUGCAUGCCCCGAGAGAUGAUGUCUAACAGUCUCCUCUACAUUGAACCGAUAAAAGAAAAAAGAAAGAAGAAAUCCAUAAUGUUUAGCUCACUGAUACUUCUUUUUCAUGCAAACCUGACCAACAUUUUUUUCAAUGCCAGCUAGGUUCUUUGGUAUAAAAAGGACAUGUUUCCUUGUGAUUUGCAACUAGAAUUAGUUAUCACUCACCAUUCCCAAGUAGCUUCCUAUCAGAAGGCUUUUCCUUCCCUGCUUUUCCAUCAAGUAUGUAGCACUGAGUGCCCCUGGAGAUUACCGCACAUCAUGAGAGAAUGGAGAACGUUAAUAACCAACACAUUAGCUCCAAUAAUUGAUAAAGCAUGUCCGUGUAAAUAUACUUGUCACAUCAAAUACUUAACCUGCAAGGUUGGUAAAUCCAACACAUAAGCUUGCUAGAGCACUGCUUGUGAUUCCAACGUCAGCAAAAGUCAAUGAUGAAAAGAAGAGAACUCCAUUUACGCCAGCAAAUUGUUGAAGCAGAAAAAGGGCACCACCAAUGAAUGCAACUGCCAGUGUAAGGACCCCAAAAAAAAAAAAAAAUUUACUGUCAUUGCUGAACCAUUAAAACUGAAGUUGUAAGCAGAUCGUGCAUGAAGUGCUAAGUUAGAACUUUACAUAAUUAAAGAUAGCAAUGACAUGGUACUAAUGACCUAACACUUUACAGACCCUAUUGACAUUCAAAUACAGGAUUAGAAAACAGAAGUUGAUAAAUAAUACAUGAUACAUCUCGUAAUCAUGAAAGAACAGAUCAGGAAAGGCAUUUCAAAAUUUUCUGAUUGCAUUAGGACCAAUGGGCAAAUUAACUAAUUGCAUUCACUUGCAUACUCUAAUAAACAUUUUCACUAUUUAACGGUUGAAGCAGUACAUAAUGACUAUCAAACACUUUUCUACUGUCAAAAAGUUCUGGCUGCUCUCAAGAAACAGAAAGAGUAGAUUGCAUCAAUCUACAUAAGCCAAUAUCUGCUCCUUAAAGUUUCAGAUCCUAGAUAUCCAAUCAGACAACAAAAAGACCACCUUAAUACAACCUCUAGAAUGUGGCUCCUCUAAGAGUUCCAACCAACUGGUGUCCAGAUCAGCUCCAUCACUCCUAAUGACAGACUGAAUAUUUUCAAUAGCUCUGUUGACUUCUGAUGGCCCCCAGAGUUUCUUGAUAACUUCUAUUGCCUCAUCAGAUCUCCCAGCCUAAUAAUUCGUCAACUGAUUUUAGAACCAUAAAAUAAAUAGUAAGUGCAUGUAUGUGCCAAGGAACAGAAUCAAAGAGCACCUUGCAUAGCCAGCGAGGACUUUCUACAGCAAAUUGCAUUCCAAUCGCCAGAAUAAACCCAGGGAUGCUCGCAAUAUAUAGAAUUGUCCGCCACCUUGACAAGGGUGGACCCCAAAAAGUAACCAAUUAAUUCAUUAAUGACAUGCCAAGAAUUAGGCUUCACAUCUUAUGUGGUUUUCAUGUCGUAUGCAGCAAGUUGGAAACAAAUGGAUGAUGUAGUAUUGAUAUGAUACCCUCUAGUAACGCUUUUUGCACAAUGAAAUCAGAAAGCUGGUUUUCAAAAAUUUCCGACCUCUCCUAAGUUUCCAGUAGAAGGUGAUGUAAGGUAACAAACAGGCAACACACAAAAAGAUGCAAUGAAAUGACAGUCAUAUUGAAAAAAGAAAAGAAAAAAAAAACUGCUUGCAAUUUCAAAGGCCAAUCUUCAUUGGCAAGCCUUGAUUCCUGGUUCUUUCGGGCGGGAAGCAGGCCAGGCCCUCAUUGGCAGUAUUUAUCACCAGAGAGAUAAUCUGGUCGUGAAUAUCAGGAAUUUUGUGUCCAUUGUAUCACUAGUUCUAGAGCAUUUACAUUCCAAAACUCAUUGGCCUCAAGGUGGCUGGUGUAAAACAAAUUAUCGAAGUCAACUAAGACCAUUGGUAGCACUAACCUACCAUAACCCUACCACCCAAACUCCACCCCAAAAUUGGAAAAAAAAAUUGAACAAGGAUAGCGACUGCCAUAAGUGUAAAGCAAUAGAGACAUUAAGGUAGAAAAUGUACUGACCACCACAUAAACACAAGAAAAGGAAAAAGACUGUCACAAUUGAACCUCAGCACAAACAAGGUAGCAAAUUAUCGCACCAAUGGGGAUCACUUUCUGAGUGAAUUCCCAGGAAAAGUGAUGCAAUAACUCCAAGGCAUGUGCCAAUUUGACUCAACGUUCCCAGGAAACCUCGGUACGUUGUUGGAGCAAUCUACAAAACAAACAUUUAGAUGCUCCAAUGACAGUGUGAAAGCAACUAUCUCCAUAGUGCUACCCUGAUAUUCUGCAAUAGCAGUAAUGCAACAAACAAUCACAGUACUGAUUGCAAGUGUCUUAGAAUUUAAAGCAACCAAAAUAGUUCAUGUGAAACAAUUCCCUUCCUCCAGCAAAUGAGCUUCAUAUCUGAAAGGAUACAAAAUAGAAAAAUAUAAUCACUAGUAAUGCUGAUUCAAGAGCUACUCCACAUGAAGCGUGAUAUCACACUCCAUUUUUAGUUAAUCUGUCAGAAGCCCUUUUUCUUUAAGCACGACCGGUGGGGUUAUCUAUUAGCAUCUCAUAAAGCGAGACCCGAUUGCGAUGAUCUAUUCUUACCUUUGAAGUUUAGUUAUCAUGUACUGUUCGUAUGUUGAUCUUAUUGUCUUGUAGGUACAGAGAAACAUUUUUAAAGUUUUCAGAUAAAGAACUCAAGUUUUUAGAUGCAAUUAUUCAAUAGUAGAGAACCAGGGUUCCCCAUAAUCACAAGAGUCAACUUGUUUAAACUAAAGGAUUACCUCUGAGAUGUAAAUAGGAACAAGAACCGUGUUCACACCAACACCAAGGCCAACAAGAAAUCUGCCCCACAGUAUUUCGUCUAAUGAGUGGGCUUGUGCACUGUCACAAGUUUGAUAAUGGAUCUAGAUAAGAAAGCAGUAUGGCUAUAGGAAGGAUGCAUAUCUGAGAGAACUCCAGGACAAUGCAUUUGAAACAGGAUUCACAAAAAUAAAUUUGCCGCAGCCAUAAUCUAGGAAUAAAUCCUUAUGCAUCAAAGCAGAAAGAAUGCAAAGCAUGCAUAUACUCUUUUGCCUGUUUACACAUAGUUGUAAAUAAGUGCACAAUAAGAAAGGAAUAGAAAACUUGAGCAUAAUAUCACACAAAGCUUAUUAGGCUCUAGUACCCUCUUCUUCAAACUUGAAAAAUCUUUAGUAUCAGAAGUCCAGAGUUUCCAGUGCAUUUGCCUUCUCAUCAUCCCAAAAAUUAUAUCUCACUCCACUUUUUAGUUAACCCAACUGCAGCCCAUUUCUAAAUGAUUGAUCCAAAAACAUCAAAAUCAAUUAGGUUGAAGGGGAAAUUAUGGUCAACAGUUUGAUGAUUAACACAGUCAUAUUUCCUGUAUUUCUCAUUUCUAUAUAGUGUAUGUGCAAAAUGUUGUGCUCUGUCUUUAGCUUGAGCUUCUAGUGGCUAAUUUCUGGAGUCAAGUUAUUCCCAACACAAAUAACUUUCAGCCUUCAUGUGCUGAAAAUAUUAGUCAUAUCUCUUUGCCUCCAUGUGGUGGAAAAGUAUUUUAUAACUGUUUGGUCAAAAGAAUGCACCAAACCAGGUACACCAUUCUUUAGAGUUCACUCUGUCCAGUUUCCAACAGUCGCCUUUUUGAGAACAUCAGAUUCUCUAACUUCACAAAACACUGCAUGAAAGCACGACAUAAACAAAGUGAAAAAUGGAAAAUAGAGGUUGUAAUUAGGAACCGGAUAGCUGGCUCUAAGCCCAGAUAAGUCAACAGGUCAAGAUUGGAUGGCUUACCGUCAACUCCGCAGAAGAGCUUUCAGUACAGAACAAGGAAAAAGCAUGCAGAAAUAUAAGUUCAAACACAACCAAAACUAAUAAUCCUUCUGUCGUAUUUAAUACUGUUAUAAUUUCUUUUUGGGAUGUCCAAUUAAAAAGACAUCUUAGUAAGAAUGGAUAGUUUGUUGGGGAAAGCAAAGAAAGAAAGAGGGAGAGAGAGUGGAUAGUUUGUGAAGGCAACUUUCCAACUUCAUAUACUCAAGUUACACAAUAUACAUUAGAAGACCAAGCUAAAUUCUUGCAAGAUGUGAUUAAAAAAAUUGUUGGAAAAGCUAGGUCCUUAAACCUAGUGUCAUGGGGUUUGGGCGACAAGACAAAUGGGAUGCAGGGAGUAGGAAGGGCAGAACAAACACAUUAAAUCUAUAGUUCACUCUACCUCCUAAAGAACUCUAACUUGAACUCAAACUCAGGGUAGCAUGUAUAAUCAUAAGUGAUCACAAAAACUUACUUUGUGUUAAGAUUACUAAAAUAUUGUCAGAAUUCAGGAGAGGCACCUUGCAUGGAAGGAAAGAUUUGAUUAAUUUAGCUAGACCUAUCCGGGCCAUAAAACUAUAGAAAUUCAAGGCUCAUAGAUAUAUGAUAUGAUACUCUUACAAUUAACUACGAACCUCAAAAUUGAUACAGAAUAACCUCCUGAUUUGGUUAAGACUCAAAUUAUACUUCUUUAUUUCCACUAGAAGUACUGGCAAGAAAAUUCAACACAUCAGCUUUUAACUUGUAGAUCAUCCAAAGAUAGCAACAAAAAGAAAUUAGUGUAGCCAAAAUUUACAAAAAUGUGGGCCAAAAUUUAUCAUCAAGGUUCUUAGCUCCGAUAGAUGUUUACAAAAGGCAAUAAGCUAAAGAAUUAGUUUGAAUCUGCUAACAACAUGUAAUGGAGACAAUUGAAAACCUGAAAUGAUAGAGUGGAACAACAAUUUAAUUAGGUAGAAUUUGACCACUAAGCAUUGGGAGGAGAAACUUGUACGUGCAUGGUACAAUGCUUUCAACAGUCAGGAAGAAAACCAAAAAAAUCUUUAAGCGAAAGAAAAUUGUAAAGCUCAAAGGUAGUCUAAGGACUAGGGGGCAUUGAUAAUGAUUGUUCACCCUUAUACACUUAGAACACAUGCAACUAAAAAGAUAUCACACUAGCUGAUUUCAAUAUAUUUUAUGUAAUGGCCACAAAUUUCAAUCAAUUUGUUUGAGUAUUAAGCACCUGCAGAAAUGCAUCACUGUGACAGUAGGUUCUUGGAAAAGGCAGGAUAAGCUUAAAGGUAUAGUGCAACAAAAGUUUACUUCUUCAAAGUUAUCUUAUGCAUCAAGGUAUAGAGAGGUGUGAGGUAUGAUUAUCAUAUAAAACCCGAGAAAGUCUGUAUACUUUUAUAGAACGAUGCAUGUUUAUGACUUCAAAAACACACAGAUGAAAUAUGACAUAUAUGCAAGGAGCGAUCAUUGAUUUCGUGCAUACUUCUUUCCCAUUUGUUUUUACCAAUUGUUACAACUUUUUUGAAGGGUUGUUAUCAUCUUCUCGAGGUGACAAUCUUAUUUUCCCAGUAAAGACAUGCAAAAUACCAAGUUAGAUACAUUCUGGAGAGCAUUUAAAGGUGGUCAAUCUUGAAAACAAUUGAAGCACACCAAAAUGCCAUUCUUUGGAUAUUCCAACAAGAAGGCAGUAUGGCUUGGUGGACAAAUUGAAUACAAAAAACAAGAAAACCAAACAAAAUCACAGACAUAAUUUUAAGCAAGAAAACAAAUUCGAUUAUAAUAAAGGAUUAAAUUGGAAAUACCCCAGUAUAUUGCCAGGGUAAAAUAAACAGCAACACCAAUAGAGACCAUGUAAUUACCUGAUGAUUGCACCAAGAACAAGAGGUAUUGUGUCAACUUGAAAGGCUCGCCUACAACCAAGUUUAUCCACAAGAAAACCAGAGCUAAUGCUUCCAACAAAUGCACCACCAAUAAAUGUACUAACAACAAGUCCUUCGAGAAAGGAAUUUCCUUCAAAACCAAGUUCUUUGGCAACAGAGACAAUAGGACCAUUCAUCACUCUGCACUAGACAACCAAGAAAGUUAAUAGGAAACAUAGAAUCUAACAUAAUCAGUGCCUCAAACAACAAUUGUGCAAAAAGGUCAAUUGAGUGUGAGAUUGACCAUUACUCAGACAACAACAAACAUGGAUAUACGUUUAUUUUUGAGUAAAACAAGUUUAGAUAUAACUGUGAUUUUUUACCAACUUUAGCACAUGAAAUUGAGAGAUAGAGAAAAUUACCCAAUGUGAUAUCCAAAGAGGAAAUUGAACAUAGAAGCAAACAAUGCAUAAGGAAAAGCAGGCAACCACCCUAAAUCAGUUGCUUCAUCAGAACCAUUUUCUUGAAGUGAUUUUUUUCCAUUCCCUGUUCAACUCCAGAAACAAAUUAAUGAAAAAGAUUCAACCUUUCACAAAUACACAAAAACCCACAAGUAUUUGCACAGAUACUCACAUAUCUGAUCACUUAAGCCAGAAAGCAGCUUCUGCUCUUCCUGCUGCUCUUGCUGUUCUUGCUGCUGUUUUCUGGUGGCUGAAACUUGAAGUCGCUUCUUGUAGUCUGAGCAAGAAAGGGAAUGGAAACAUGGGUUUUUCCUCUUUUUAGAGAUGGAUAAAUUAUAGUUGUGAAUGACAAGUGCUGGGGUGGAUUCUUAUUUAGUCGAGUCUAGCUCGAUAAGUUCAAUGUUUGACUCGGUUCGGCUCGUUUGCACCCCUAUGUAUAAAUUAUAAAUGAAUAUUAUAUAAAUGUAUAAAUUAUAAUUUAUAGUUUAUAAUUUUUAUAUUUUUAUACAUUUAUGCAUUUAUAAUAAAUUUAUAAAUAAAUAUAUAAAUGUAUUAUAAAUGUAUAAAUGUAUAUUAUUAUAAAUGUGUAUAAAUUAUAAAUGAAUAUUAUAUAAAUGUAUAAAUGUAUAAAUUAUAAAUUAUAAAUUUUAUAUUUUUAUAUUUAUAUACAUUUAUGCAUUUAUAAUACAUUUAUAAAUAUUUAUAAAUAAAUAUAUUUAUUUAUAAUACAUAUAAAUAUAUAUAUAAUAAAUAUAUUAUAUAUAAUACAUAAUAUAAAUAUAUUUAUAAAUGUAUAAAUGUGUAUAAAUUAUAAAUGAAUAUUAUAUAAAUGUAUAAAUUAAUAUAUUAUAAAUAUAUGUUAAUAUUAUGUAUAAAUGUAUUAAUAUAUUAAAUAUAAAUGUAUAAAUAUAUUAUAAAUGUAUUAUAUUAUAUAUAAUACAUUAUAUAAAAGUAUAUUAUAAAUAUACAUAAAUAUAUAUAUUAUGUAUAAAUGUACAUUUAUAUAAAUGUAUAAUAUAUAUAAUAUAUAUUAUGUAUAUAUCAAAUAUAUAUAAUAUAUAAUAUUUAUAUAAAUGUAUAAUUACAUAUUAUUAUAUAUCAUUUAUAUAAUUUAUAAUAUAUAAUAUUUAUAUAAAUAUAUUAUAAAUAUAUAAAAAUAUAUUUUAUCCAAUAUAUAUUUAUUUAUAAAAUAAAAUAUUUAUAAUAUGUAUAAAUAAAUAUAUUUAAAUUAAUAUUAUAUAUAUAUAUAUCAUAUACAUAAUUGAAAUAUACAAAUUGAAAUAAACAUAUUAAAUAUUUAUUUGGAGUUGUUUUUGAUAUAUUGUUUGGAUAUGGUGUUUUUGGAGUUGUUUUUGAAAUACACAUUUACUGUAGCAUUUGGAAUGUGAAAAACAGUUUUUCAAAAACAGUCCCAAAAACAAGCUAUCCAAACAGACCCAUGGGUUUUUCCUCUUUUUAGAGAUGGAUAAAUUAUAGUUGUGAAUGACAAGUGCUGGGGUGGAUUUGGCUGUUGAAAGAAGAGGGAAAUUUUGGUGUUGAUGUAGAGCAGAAGUUGUGGUAGUUUCUAACAUUGAAAUACAAAGGGUAGUGAAACAGAGAGAGUUUGGGUGCGUUUGGAUCAAGAAGGAACCAUAUAAAAUUAUAAACUACCAAAAUUACCAUGCUAUAUUCGCCACAAAAAAAAAUAAAACAAAAUAAAAUAAAAUAAAUCAUGGAAGUCAAUUUCAUUUUUUGUUUUCUUUUCUUGGAAAAAAAAUAAGAAUCUUUGUGGUCACAUUUUCAAGUUUGUGUCCAACCACAUUAAUAUUUUGUUGGUGAUAAUUGGUGGAUAU